UACGGAGGGGGCGAGCGUUAUUCGGAAUUAUUGGGCGUAAAGGGCGCGUAGGCGGCCUGGUCAGUCGAAGGUGAAAUCCCCGAGCUCAACUUGGGAACUGCCUUCGAUACUGCCGGGCUUGAGUCCGGGAGGGGAGAGUGGAAUUCCCAGUGUAGCGGUGAAAUGCGUAGAUAUCAGGAAGAACACCCGUGGCGAAAGCGGCUCUCUGGAACGGUACUGACGCUGAGACGCGAAAGCGUGGGGAGCGAACAGG
rnacentral:rRNA from 1 species